AUUGUAAAUACAUAUUUAAAUACCUUUCUUCUUUAGACAAAAGUGUGAUUUGAGAAUAAAAACUUCAAGUAAAAUCUUGAAGAUGGAGUUGAAGGUUGCCUCUAAGACUAGCUAAUGAAGAAAUUUCACAAGUUUUUCCAAAGCUGCCAACACAUUCAAUUGCAUUCUAAGUUUUCAUUUGCUUGUUAAUUUGUAAAAACACACUUACCAACCUUUAUACACAAAUCACCUGAUAUAUAUAUAUAUAUAUACAUA
rnacentral:misc_RNA from 1 species